rnacentral:rRNA from 1 species
GACGAACGCUGGCGGCGUGCUUAACACAUGCAAGUCGAACGGAAAGGCCCUGCUUUUGUGGGGUGCUCGAGUGGCGAACGGGUGAGUAACACGUGAGUAACCUGCCCUUGACUUUGGGAUAACUUCAGGAAACUGGGGCUAAUACCGGAUAGGAGCUCCUGCUGCAUGGUGGGGGUUGGAAAGUUUCGGCGGUUGGGGAUGGACUCGCGGCUUAUCAGCUUGUUGGUGGGGUAGUGGCUUACCAAGGCUUUGACGGGUAGCCGGCCUGAGAGGGUGACCGGCCACAUUGGGACUGAGAUACGGCCCAGACUCCUACGGGAGGCAGCAGUGGGGAAUAUUGCACAAUGGGCGGAAGCCUGAUGCAGCAACGCCGCGUGCGGGAUGACGGCCUUCGGGUUGUAAACCGCUUUCGCCUGUGACGAAGCGUGAGUGACGGUAAUGGGUAAAGAAGCACCGGCUAACUACGUGCCAGCAGCCGCGGUGAUACGUAGGGUGCGAGCGUUGUCCGGAUUUAUUGGGCGUAAAGGGCUCGUAGGUGGUUGAUCGCGUCGGAAGUGUAGUCUUGGGGCUUAACCCUGAGCGUGCUUUCGAUACGGGUUGACUUGAGGAAGGUAGGGGAGAAUGGAAUUCCUGGUGGAGCGGUGGAAUGCGCAGAUAUCAGGAGGAACACCAGUGGCGAAGGCGGUUCUCUGGGCCUUUCCUGACGCUGAGGAGCGAAAGCGCGGGGAGCGGACAGGCUUAGAUACCCUGGUAGUCCACGCUGUAAACGGUGGGUACUAGGUGUGGGGUCCAUUCCACGGGUUCCGUGCCGUAGCUAACGCUUUAAGUACCCCGCCUGGGGAGUACGGCCGCAAGGCUAAAACUCAAAGGAAUUGACGGGGCCCCGCACAAGCGGCGGAGCAUGCGGAUUAAUUCGAUGCAACGCGUAGAACCUUACCCGGGUUUGACAUGGAUCGGGAGCGCUCAGAGAUGGGUGUGCCUCUUUUGGGGUCGGUUCACAGGUGGUGCAUGGCUGUCGUCAGCUCGUGUCGUGAGAUGUUGGGUUAAGUCCCGCAACGAGCACAACCCUUGUUCACUGUUGCCAGCACGUUAUGGUGGGGACUCAGUGGAGACCGCCGGGGUCAACUCGGAGGAAGGUGGGGAUGACGUCAAGUCAUCAUGCCCCUUAUGUCCAGGGCUUCACGCAUGCUACAAUGGCUGGUACAGAGAGUGGCGAGCCUGUGAGGGUGAGCGAAUCUCGGAAAGCCGGUCUCAGUUCGGAUUGGGGUCUGCAACUCGACCUCAUGAAGUCGGAGUCGCUAGUAAUCGCAGAUCAGCAACGCUGCGGUGAAUACGUUCCCGGGGCU